GCCAAAUUAAAGAAGGAUGUGAAGGUUAGGCUAAGAAGUGUGAUGAGCUUUAUUUAGGUAAUAGGCAAUGAGGAGAAAUUGAAACAUGAAGGAACAUAAUUUGAGGUGUGAUUAUUUGAGUUUUUAAAAUAUUAUCACUGUGCAUCAGAAUGGGUUAGGGAAGGCUUAAAUCCUGGAUGCUGGCUCAGCACCUAUUAGAGCAAUUAAAAUGAGAAAUGAUGCAGACUAAACUAGAAUUUCAGGUAAAAAUGGGAAAAAUAGGCGUUAAAAAAUGGUAUAAACGUUAAAAAACUACACUUGACUGAGUUAGAAUAUGGAGGAAAAGGAAGUAUGGAGAUCAAAAGAAAACAUCAGGAUUUGGGAGCUUGGACACAGGGGAAUGACAACGUAAAGGGAUUAUUUCAAAGAUAAUUUGGCAUAGACACUUCUAGACUCUCCUCUUCAUCUGUGUGUGGAGGGGUUCUUGCUGUAUGGCUCACGCUGCUCUUGAACUGCUGGUCUCAAGCGAUCGUCCUGCCUAGGCCUUCCAAAGUGCUGAGAUUACAGGUGUGACCUAUCACACUGGGCCUCAGCUUCACUCUUGAAAUACAUUUUGCUGGUUAUUUGACUUCUAGUUGGCAGCCAUUUAG
rnacentral:lncRNA from 1 species